rnacentral:rRNA from 1 species
UAAUACGUAGGGUGCAAGCGUUAAUCGGAAUUACUGGGCGUAAAGCGUGCGCAGGCGGUUUUGUAAGUCAGAUGUGAAAUCCCCGGGCUUAACCUGGGAACUGCGUUUGAAACUACAAGGCUAGAGUGUGGCAGAGGGGGGUGGAAUUCCACGUGUAGCAGUGAAAUGCGUAGAGAUGUGGAGGAACACCGAUGGCGAAGGCAGCCCCCUGGGUUAACACUGACGCUCAGGCACGAAAGCGUGGGGAGCAAACAGGAUUAGAUACCCUGGUAGUCCACGCCCUAAACGAUGUCAACUAGUUGUCGGGUCUUAACGGACUUGGUAACGCAGCUAACGCGUGAAGUUGACCGCCUGGGGAGUACGGUCGCAAGAUUAAAACUCAAAUGAAUUG